rnacentral:rRNA from 1 species
AAAUGAAUUGACGGGGGCCCGCACAAGCGGAGGAACAUGUGGUUUAAUUCGAUGAUACGCGAGGAACCUUACCCGGGCUUGAAAUGUACCUGACGAGGCUCAGAGACGAGCCUUUCCUUCGGGCAGGUAUGUAGGUGCUGCAUGGUUGUCGUCAGCUCGUGCCGUGAGGUGUCGGCUCAAGUGCCAUAACGAGCGCAACCCCUUCCGCUGGUUACCAUCGGGUGAUGCCGGGGACUCCAGCGGCACUGCCGCCGCAAGGCGCGAGGAAGGCGGGGAUGACGUCAAAUCAGCACGGCCCUUACGUCCGGGGCCACACACGUGUUACAAUGGGGGGCACAGCAGGCAGGACGCGGGCGACCGCGUUCGAAUCAUGAAAUCCCCUCCCAGUUCGGACUGGAGUCUGCAACCCGACUCCACGAAGCUGGAUUCGCUAGUAAUCGCGCAUCAGCCAUGGCGCGGUGAAUACGUUCCCGGGCCUUGUACACACCGCCCGU